AUGGCGAAAGCACGCAAAAACGAGGCAACGAAAACCGCUUCUCGUGUGGACAACGGUAUGCACAAAGGUAAACCCACCACUGUUAUCAAAAUCGAUCCAUGGAAUCCUCCGUAUCCCAUGCACGGUGACGGCCGUUGUACUCCUGAGGAGUUUGUUCGUCAAAGAACAUCCUUUCUGAUCACCUCCAGGGCGACCAACACGAUCAUCCCGGAUCGUACUCCUCCGGAGGCGAAUUCUCAGUUCUACUUCUACCAUGGGGUGUACCCCCGCUGGCUGCCCAUCCUGGAGAAGGACAACGUCCGGUGCUUCCUCCGCCUGUUCGCCGAGUGCCGGGACGACUGCAUGACUUAUGGCUCCAUCAUCAUCCCAGAAGCCUUCAACCACAUGGUCGUCGAGGACGCCCUGCGGUGCGCAAAGGUUGCCAUGGAGGGCAAGGCUCCGGAGCUCGAAGGGCACUGUGCCAAUCCCAACUACAUGAACUAG
rnacentral:rRNA from 1 species